UCGUCAGCUCGUGUCGUGAGAUGUUGGGUUAAGUCCCGCAACGAGCGCAACCCUCGUUCUAUGUUGCCAGCACGUGAUGGUGGGAACUCAUAGGAGACUGCCGGGGUCAACUCGGAGGAAGGUGGGGAUGACGUCAAAUCAUCAUGCCCUUUAUGUCUUGGGCUUCACGCAUGCUACAAUGGCUGGUACAGAGAGAUGCGAGACCGUGAGGUUUUAGCGAAUCCCUUAAAGCCAGUCUCAGUUCGGAUCGUAGUCUGCAAUUCGACUACGUGAAGUCGGAGUCGCUAGUAAUCGCAGAUCAGCAACGCUGCGGUGAAUACGUUCCCGGGCCUUGUACACACCGCCCGUCAAGUCACGAAAGUCGGUAACACCCGAAGCCGGUGGCCCAACCCUUGUGGAGGGGGCCGUCUAAGGUGGGACUGGUGAUUGGGACUAAGUCGUAACAAGGUAGCCGUACCGGAAGGUGCGGCUGGAUCACCUCCUUU
rnacentral:rRNA from 1 species